rnacentral:rRNA from 1 species
GACGAACGCUGGCGGCGUGCUUAACACAUGCAAGUCGAACGAUGAACCGGUUUCGGCCGGGGAUUAGUGGCGAACGGGUGAGUAACACGUGGGCAAUCUGCCCUGCACUCUGGGAUAAGCCCGGGAAACUGGGUCUAAUACCGGAUACGACACUCCGAGGCAUCUUGGGGUGUGGAAAGUUCGGGCGGUGCAGGAUGAGCCGGCGGCCUAUCAGCUUGUUGGUGGGGUAAUGGCCUACCAAGGCGACGACGGGUAGCCGGCCUGGGAGGGUGACCGGCCACACUGGGACUGAGACACGGCGCAGACUCGUACGGGAGGCAGUAGUGGGGAAUAUUGCACAAUGGGGGAACGCCUGAUGCAGCGACGCCGCGUGAGGGAUGACGGCCUUCGGGUUGUAAACAUCUUUCAGCAGGGAAGAAGCGAAAGUGACGGUACCUGCAGAAGAAGCACCGGCUAACUACGUG